AUUGAACGCUGGCGGCAUGCCUUACACAUGCAAGUCGAACGGUAACGCGGGGCAACCUGGCGACGAGUGGCGAACGGGUGAGUAAUGUAUCGGAACGUGCCCAGUUGUGGGGGAUAACUGCUCGAAAGAGCAGCUAAUACCGCAUACGACCUGAGGGUGAAAGCGGGGGAUCGCAAGACCUCGCGCAAUUGGAGCGGCCGAUAUCAGAUUAGGUAGUUGGUGGGGUAAAGGCCCACCAAGCCAACGAUCUGUAGCUGGUCUGAGAGGACGGCCAGCCAGCCUGGGACGGAGACACGGCCCAGACUCCUACGGGGGGCAGCAGUGGGGAAUUUUGGACAAUGGACGCAAGUCUGAUCCAGCCAUGCCGCGUGCGGGAAGAAGGCCUUCGGGUUGUAAACCGCUUUUGUCAGGGAAGAAACGCUCUGGGUUAAUACCUCGGGGUAAUGACGGUACUUGAAGAAUAAGCACCGGCUAACUACGUGCCAGCCGCCGCCGUAAGAC
rnacentral:rRNA from 1 species